GGUCUGUCAUCUGUGUUUUUUAGGUUAUGUUGAUUUUUCAAUAUACAAACUUUUUCUUUUUCAAAUAAAUAAAUAAUAUGGAUGAAAAAAGAAAAUGUGACCGAAAGAGAAAACGAUUUGCUGCACGUCUUAAAAGUUCCAAGGGAAUAUUGUGCACUGAUUAUCCGGGACCUAACAUAGUACUUUGCAAUGUUGGCCAGGCAACGGGUUUAGAGAAAGCUGAUAUACUCAAACUAUUAGAAGCUUUGCCGCAAAAUGUGAAACUUUUAAAGUUUAUAGCUGAGAAAGGUGAAUCACACUCCUACCUAGUGUUCAAUAGCACGGAAAGUGGUCAAUUAUUUUAUGAAACAUAUAAUGGGUCGAAAGCAUUUACUUGUGUACCAAUCUAUAUGAGCUAUGUUG